UGAGGAAUAUUCCGCAAUGGGCGAAAGCCUGACGGAGCGACACCGCGUGGAGGAUGAAGGCGUUUUCGUUGUAAACUCCUUUUCUGGGGGAAUAACUGAUGAAGGUACCCCAGGAAUAAGCACCGGCUAACUACGUGCCAGCAGCCGCGGUAAUACGUAGGGUGCAAGCGUUAUCCGGAAUCAUUGGGCGUAAAGAGUUCGUAGGUGGUUUGGUAAGUUUGCGGUUAAAUACGGUCGCUCAACGAUCGAAUUGUCGCAAAAACUCCCAAACUUGAGAAUGGCAGAGGCAACUAGAAUUCCACAUGUAGGGGUAAAAUCCGUUGAUAUGUGGAGGAAUACCAAAAGCGAAGGCAAGUUGCUGGGCCAUUUCUGACGCUGAGGAACGAAAGCGUGGGGAGCA
rnacentral:rRNA from 1 species